CUACUCCCAGCUUCUGCACACAUCUGGUCCAACACUACUUUGGGAUAUGUUUUGCUAAGGUUGCUGUUCUGCCUGGAAGGCCCUCAUUCCUCAGCUGCAUGACCCGAGGUUUCCUUCCUCUAAGACCUUGCUAGCGGCUCCUAGAUGCCUUCCAAACCAAAUUCUCUUCUAUGAGAUCAGCUCUUAGCUUUGUAUUCCCUGGCACUUAUGGAGUAUGUUAUGGAGACAGGGUCUCCAUAUAUUUCCCAGGCUGGUUUCAAACUUCUGUCCUCAAGCAAUCGAUUCUCCCACCUCAACCUCUCAAAGUGCUGGGAUUAUAUGUGUGAGCCACCGCACUGGGCCAUAAAUUUUAAAAGGCUGUUUAUGAAGCAAUUUUAAGAGGAGAGUAAAGAAGAAGACCAAAUUUAGGUAUGGAUUUCAAAAAGCCUUGGCAAGAUCUCUAAAACUUUUGCCCACACAAGCAAUUGUAGAGAGCUACUCAGAGUCUUUCUUUCCCAGGGUAUUAUCUACGGCCUAUUAAAGACUUCCAC
rnacentral:lncRNA from 1 species